rnacentral:rRNA from 1 species
UUUGAUCCUCGGCUCAGAUUGAACGCUAGCGGGAUGCCUUACACAUGCAAGUCGAACGGCAGCACGGACUUCGGUCUGGUGGCGAGUGGCGAACGGGUGAGUAAUGUAUCGGAACGUGCCCAGUAGCGGGGGAUAACUACGCGAAAGCGUAGCUAAUACCGCAUACGCCCUACGGGGGAAAGCAGGGGAUCGCAAGACCUUGCACUAUUGGAGCGGCCGAUAUCGGAUUAGCUAGUUGGUGGGGUAACGGCUCACCAAGGCGACGAUCCGUAGCUGGUUUGAGAGGACGACCAGCCACACUGGGACUGAGACACGGCCCAGACUCCUACGGGAGGCAGCAGUGGGGAAUUUUGGACAAUGGGGGAAACCCUGAUCCAGCCAUCCCGCGUGUGCGAUGAAGGCCUUCGGGUUGUAAAGCACUUUUGGCAGGAAAGAAACGUCAUGGGUUAAUACCCCGUGAAACUGACGGUACCUGCAGAAUAAGCACCGGCUAACUACGUGCCAGCCGCCGCGGUA